rnacentral:rRNA from 1 species
GUAGGGAAUAUUGGGCAAUGGAUGCAAGUCUGACCCAGCCAUGCCGCGUGCAGGAAGAAGGUCCUCUGGAUUGUAAACUGCUUUUUUGGGGGAAGAAUAGUUUUCUUGCGAGGAAAUGUGACGGUACCCUAAGAAUAAGCCACGGCUAACUACGUGCCAGCAGCCGCGGUAAUACGUAGGUGGCAAGCGUUGUCCGGAUUUAUGGGGUUUAAAGGGUGCGUAGGUGGUUUGAUAAGUCAGUGGUGAAAGCCGGUUGGUCCACAAUCGAGUUGCCAUUGAUACUUUCGGAGUUGAUAGAAGUGGAGGUUGAUGGAAUGGAUGGUGUAGCGGUGAAAUGCAUAGAUAUCAUCCAGAACGUCGAUUGCGAAGGCAGUGGGCUGUACUUUAUCUGACACUGAGGCACGAAAGUGUUGGGAUCAAACAGGAUUAGAAACCCGGGUAGUCC